rnacentral:tRNA from 1 species
GAGGGUAUAGCUCAGUGGUAGAGCGCAUGCCUAGCAUGCAGGAGGUCCUGGGUUCCAUCCCUAGAAUCUCCU